UACGUAGGGUGCAAGCGUUGUCCGGAAUUAUUGGGCGUAAAGCGCACGUAGGCGGUCUUUUAAGUCGGGGGUGAAAUCCUGGAGCUCAACUCCAGAACUGCCUUCGAUACUGGAAGACUCGAGUCCGGGAGAGGUGAGUGGAACUGCGAGUGUAGAGGUGAAAUUCGUAGAUAUUCGCAAGAACACCAGUGGCGAAGGCGGCUCACUGGCCCGGUACUGACGCUGAGGUGCGAAAGCGUGGGGAGCAAACAGG
rnacentral:rRNA from 1 species